GGGGCUGCCCCUGCCGGUGGUCACCUGACUAUAUAAGGGACACCACUCGUGUCACAUAUAGAAACAUCCAGCUAAAUUAACUCCCAUUGUGUUACUGGUCACCUUCUGGUGAGGAUAUAUACCAAGACACGAAGAUGAAGACUUCCAGCAUGAUUUUGGUCGCCGCUGUGUGCAUGUCGCUUUUAUUUUCUGUACAAGCCCAGUAUGACCAGAUGUUCCCAUGGCUACUGUUAAGCUCCAUGUCAGGCGGCCAGGGUCAGGGGGGAGGUUUCGGCUCCCUCAUGCCAUGGCUCCUCAUGUCUGGGGGUAACGACCAGGUGCGGAGUCUCUUCCCUACCCUCAUGCUCAGCCGAGCGCUUUUUGGAGGUCAAGGCCAAGGUCAAGGCGCUUAUUGAUUAUGUAAAAAAACGUGAUAAACCUCAUCUGUUCACACAUCCCCCCUCCCCUACUCCACACUUUGGUGUUUGUUUAAAACUUUACACUGCAUUCAUACCCAACACAACUCAUGUUGAGCUUUGCCAUAGACUACCAUUGUAUAAAAACGAAAUCACAAAUAUAUUUGACAUGUAAAUAUAUAACAUAUCACAUCUUUACUUUGUUUGAUGGUACAUUUGAUUCCUCAGGUUACGUAACACCUGAUCAAUAUUGGUCGUCAAUAUCAAACUGUUCGCAGGUUGUUAUUAAAAUCUAUUAUAAAAAAAAUG